GACAGAGGCAUCUGAUUAGCAGGCAAAGUUUUUGAGUGUUCAGUUCUGCGAUAAAUCAGUGAAGGCCUAACUUAAUGAUCAGAAAAAUCUGAGAGGUGCACACUAAAAAGCCACACCUUCAUCACCUUCAUCGAAGGAACAAGAGAUGGGUUAAAAAGAGAAAACAAAGAAACAUGAUAUGGGAAAGAAAGCAAUGCAAGAAAAAAAAAUGAGGACCUUGAGAUAGAAAGAUGAAGAAACCCCAUAUCUUGUUUUCUGUGGUUUUGCUGAGGCAGUCUUUGGAAGACUGAAAAACCAGCAGAUUUAUUUCUCGACAAGAAACAAGAGACUCGAAGCACCUGAGCAAGAAUGAAAGCUUACAUCAUCAUCUUGGUGGUUUACGUAAAUGGAUACUAAAGAAUCAUAGCGCACAG